UCUCCAGGAUUUGUCCAGGGUUUUGUUCCAAGGAAACCUCAGAGUAUUUUGCUUCUCUUCCUUUUUCUCAAGUGAAACCUUGGUAUUUAUAGACUGAAUUUCAUGGCUUUGUGAGCUCAAAUGAGAGAGACCCAAGUCCAAAAUUUUUUCUGUUAUAUUUUAUUUUAUUUAUUUAUUUAAUUAAUUUUUUUUUUAAUUU
rnacentral:lncRNA from 1 species